AGCAGUUUAGUGCUCAGCUUCCUAUUAAAAUACCCCAGUCAGCCAGGAUCAAUCCCUACAAAUCUGCCAAGAAAGAUACAACUUGGAUCAAACAAUACCAUUUUUACUCAGGCUGCACAGACACACUUUGGCUCUGAUGUGUUUUCCCGGGUGAAUUACAAAAGCAGGAUUUGGAGAUUCUUCCGUCUCGGGAAUUAAAUGCUCAGAACUAUUGGCUGUCAACUUGAAGAAUGUUAGAUCUGCAUCUCUCCACAACUGUCUUAAGUUUCUUGGAACAGAGCCCAGCUAUUAGCAGGGGGUAAAUAAGACAAAAAUUGACAACAAUGUGCAUUAUAGGGUGAAGCGUGGAAGGCGGAGGUUUAGAUGUGAACGGUUAAUGGAUUUCUUAGAACUGUGGUAUUUGAUUUGAAGCUUACCAUGUUUUUCAAGCAGGUUCACCUCAGCUGAUCUCUGAAAACUUAAAAAAAAGAAAAGGUAUAUUUUGUUCCAUUUAAAACAUUGCAAAAAUGCAGGGUAGUGUUUAUUAACAUGGUGUGAUUUUGGGGCUUGUACAGAACUAUUGGUUAAAAAUAUGUUUUAAAUGCGCAUUGUUAUAAGUUUGUGUUGGUCAGAUUCAGUUUGGCUGUUGGUGCAGACUACUACAGUAAAAUGAAUUCUGCUUGGUGAAUUGGGGGUUAAAUAUCUGUUAUUUCCAAGCGUGUUUGUGUUAUUUCCAAACUCCUCCUUUUGUUUUUACAACAUAGAGUGGGUACAAGGUUGUGAGGUCAGACUGGGAGUGAUUCCGCAUUUUCAGAAAAGUGGUUUUUGCUUUAUUCUUUCUGCUGCCUUAUGUGUUUGGACCAUAAGAAUAUUUUUUUCUCCUCUGUGGCAUGAGCUGUGCUUUUUAUCCUACAGCACAUUUACUAGGGACUAGUGAUAAUUUUACCACAGAUUCAGUGAAUGAACAGCACAGGUAAAAUACGGCAAACUUGUGAAAGACCCCAUUUCAACAAGUUUCCAAGGAGCACAAAUACAAAUACCUUGAUGCAAGCCCCAAGCAACAUAAACAAACCUAAAUAGCUCAGUUCAGCCAGGUACCUCAGCCUGAGGUUAUUGAGAUGUGCUGUAGCCCUGCUGAAUCUACAGGUUUCUUCACAUCCAUGCACAUUUAUGGGUGUAAAAACUCCUUGUCUUGGCGAGCAAAGCCAAGCCUUUAUUUUGUUCUCUUUAUUUCCCUGCUCAAGCAAAUUUUUCUGCCUCUCCCUGGACUUCCUUCCUUGGGAAAAUACACUCAGUGGUGUUUUUCUGUAGGUUCUGGAUACGUUUGUGGAGUUUCAGUGAGUUCCCCCACCCUUCCCCGUGGCGGUGCUGCCUGAGCCUCUCUCCAAGCAGCUGAUGAGGCUUUGGGAAGAGCUCGGCUGCCUCUGCACCAGCCUCGAUUCCUUCCCAGUGACAACACCAAGUUUCAUUGUGGAGCCUGAGAACCAAUGCAUUAACUCUGAGCAGGGACAGCAGAAGGAAAGCCUGGAGCUGCUGCUCGCCCUGGAGCUGGAACAUCCUUUGAGCAGCAGCAAAGCAAGAGAAAGCAAAACCACCCCUCUAAGAUGGCUGCAAACAGAAGGCCUCUGCAGUCCCUCUUUAAACACUGAAGAUAUUUCCAUUUAAAAUAGCUACUUAAAGGCAGGUUUAAUCUCAAAACAGCAUUUUCCACUUUAAAAAAAAAAAAUCACAUGCACACAAAAAAACCCCACCUUCAAAAAUGUCUUGAGUUAUUUCUCCUUCAAUUUUUUUUUCCAAUUAAAUUAAUUUAAACAGAGUGAAAAAUGCUUCAUGCCCUAAGAGCCUGAAACCUCUGGUGUCAGCUGAAACGGGCACUUGUGCUCUCAGCUUCAGCCCUCGCUGCAGGCACCUCUGCUUUGAAGCCUUUGAAGUGUUUGUGGCACAGGAAGAGUCUCUCCUCAGAGAACACCAGUUAUUUUACAGAUAUUUAAUGUGUGAAGUGUGUGCCUGUGUUUGGGUUCGGAUAACGGGGGUUUCACAAGGCAGGUGGGAAAACAGGGACAGGAUCUUGACGUGCAGAGCAAAACUGAAGGAAAAACCACCUUGAGACCAUCUCUUAAGAUGCUUCCAGCCUUCACCAGCACCGUCCUGAAGAUGCAGAUGAAAUUAUCUGGCUUUCAGAGGGACCAAAUUUGUUUUUAGUGCCUUUAGAAUGCAUUUACUCUCCCAGCACCAGGAUUUCCCUCAGAGGAAAGGAUGCCACCAAAACAGCCUGGGGACACCAGGAGCAAGGGGCUGGGGGUGCCCAUCCCCACAGGGCAGCUGGAACCAACCCCCGAGCUUAUUUUGGGGAUGUGAUGCAAAAGCCUUGCAAUAAAUUUCAUUAGUGGCUGGAUUUUGGAGCUAAUUAUUUACUCACGUAGUGACCUUGCUUGUGAUUUGAGAGGUAAAACCUCUGCCUGCAUUUCAGGGGGGGCUGAUGCAAAAUCCACCUCAGCACCCAGCAGGACCAAUUUUGAGGCUGAUUUGUUUAAAUUGUUACAUUUCCCUUCUUUUUUGGGGGUCAGGGGUGCCCAAAGGUUGACGCCUCUUUCAGAACGAGGCACAUUUAUUCACUGUGCACUGCAAUUAUUCCAGCUUGUAACCAAUGAGGUUUAAUUAAUAUUAAAAUCUUAAAUCAGCCAGCUCAGCCAAUGUUAUUUGAGCACUGAUGGUUUGUUGAACAUCUUCUCUCAUGGACUCGUAUUUAAAUAGAAGAAAAUACCAAAAAAAACUUAUUAUACCUGAAAUGGAAAAACAAUUAUGUUCUGUGACUUUGCAGAGUUAUUUGUGAGGAUAUGUAAUAUAUUUUUGCAGAGUUCCUGUUCUAGGAGAAGCCCUUUCUUCUUGGUGUUUGUUGCUUCUCUUAAUGCAAACACAAGGAAAUACUGGGUAAUGGAUAGAGAAAUACAUAGAUAAGGAAUAUAGAUAGAUAAGGAAUAUAGAAUAAACCCUCUGUUUUUCAAACAAUUGCCCUUCAUGCUACUUUAUUUUUAAUUUUUCCAGCUUUCCUGCAGCUGUCCUUGACUCAGCCAAGGCCAGGUACGAGGGAAGAGCUCCAUGGCAUGAAAGAAGUUGCUACAGGGACUUUUGGGUGACCCCCCCAAACCCCUGCAUCUCCCUCAGGUUUGGCAAAUCUCCCAAUUUCUUUCACCAAAAUCAAGCUCUUAAUCUCAAGACACCUCUCCUACGUGAGGCUGCCUCCUGAGCACGAUCCACAGGGCCCGUGUUUCAACACCCAGGAUUCAUUAAUAUUUCCUGCAGAGUGCUCAGGAUCCUCAGCUUCACAGAUAUCAAUAAGUCUGAUGGAUUUCUUGCUGCAUUCUCAUUCUUCUGCCCUGGUGUCUCUUAUGGGAUCAUCAUUUCUGCAUGCUUGGAUUGUUUUAUGGGAUCAGUGAAAGGCAA